rnacentral:misc_RNA from 1 species
UUAAGUUCAGCGGGUAGUCCUACCUGAUUUGAGAUCAAACUUCAAAAUGCUGUCCUCGUUGAGAGAGACGUUUAUAAGCUCCAGCGAACCUUCAGUGAUGAAGGUUGCCUGGUGGGAGUCCACAAGCGUAGAUAGUUAUCACACCUGCGACGCCACCAAAACACUGGCAAGCUGAUCCAUUUGAGGAGAGCCGACCAUAG